UACGGGGGGGGCAAGCGUUGUUCGGAAUUACUGGGCGUAAAGGGCUCGUAGGCGGCCAACUAAGUCGGAUGUGAAAUCCCCAGGCUUAACCUGGGAACUGCAUCCGAUACUGGAUGGCUUGAAUCCGGGAGAGGGAUGCAGAAUUCCAGGUGUAGCGGUGAAAUGCGUAGAUAUCAGGAAGAACACCCGUGGCUAAGGCGGCUCUCUAGUACGGUACUGACGCUGAGACGCGAAAGCGUGGGGAGCGAACAGG
rnacentral:rRNA from 1 species